rnacentral:rRNA from 1 species
UACGGAGGAUGCGAGCGUUAUCCGGAUUUAUUGGGUUUAAAGGGUGCGCAGGCGGAUUUUUAAGUCAGCGGUCAAAUCGUGGGGCUCAACCCCAUCCAGCCGUUGAAACUGGGGAUCUAGAGUGUGCGAGAGGUAUGCGGAAUGCGUGGUGUAGCGGUGAAAUGCAUAGAUAUCACGCAGAACCCCGAUUGCGAAGGCAGCCUUCCGGCGCCCUACUGACGCUGAGGCACGAAAGUGCGGGGAUCGAACAGG